AGACAUGGGAGGGCAGGGGCAAGAACGGCAGCCUCUCCCUAGCUCACAUCUCACCAGGGUUGGCUAAGCAGUCCUCCCCUUGCCCCACGAGUGGCAGGACAGCUCCCAACACUUCUCUAGGCUUAAAGUACAUGUGGAAGGGCGAGCCUCCCAGGAUUCUCAAACAGAAGCAGCCUGCCAGGCUGAGCCAUCCAGAAGGUUGAAGAAAAAUGCCGUCGUGGUCCCCUGCCUGCUUACUCAGCGUGUCAAGCAG
rnacentral:lncRNA from 1 species